GACGGGGGAGGCGAGCGUUAUCCGGAAUCACUGGGCGUAAAGCGUCCGCAGGUGGUGAUGCAAGUCACUGGUGAAAAACUCUGGCUCAACCGGAGGAAAGCCAGUGAAACUGCAUGACUAGAGUGUGGGAGAGGUAGCAGGAAUUCCCUGUGUAGCGGUGAAAUGCGUAGAUACAGGGAAGAACACCAGAGGCGAAAGCGGUCUACUGGAAGACAACUGACACUGAGAGACGAAAGCUAGGGGAGCGAACCGG
rnacentral:rRNA from 1 species